rnacentral:rRNA from 1 species
AGAGUUUGAUCCUGGCUCAGGAUAAACGCUGGCGGCGUGCCUAAAACAUGCAAGUCGAACGGCCCCUUCGGGGGUAGUGGCGGACGGCUGAGUAACACGUGGGUGACCUGCCCUCGAGCGGGGGAUAACUGCCCGAAAGGGUGGCUAAUACCGCAGAUCUCUGGGAUUCGGUUUUCAGAGUGAACCUCCGGGGUUCGAGGAGGGGCCCGCGGCCGAUUAGCUCGCUGGUGGGGUAACGGCCUACCAGGGCACCGAUCGGUAGCUGGUCUGAGAGGAUGAUCAGCCAGACUGGGACUGCGAACGGCCCAGACUCCUACGGGAGGCAGCAGUUAGGAAUUUUGGGCAAUGGGCGGAAGCCUGACCCAGCAACGCCGCGUGGGUGAUGAAGGCCCUCGGGUCGUAAAGCCCUUUUCCCAGGGAAGAUGAUGACGGUACCUGGGGAAUCAGCCCCGGCUAACUACGUGCCAGCAGCCGCGGUAAUAC